UACGUAGGGUGCGAGCGUUAAUCGGAAUUACUGGGCGUAAAGCGUGCGCAGGCGGUUUUGCAAGACAGAUGUGAAAUCCCCGGGCUUAACCUGGGAACUGCAUUUGUGACUGCAAGGCUAGAGUGUGUCAGAGGAGACUGGAAUUCCUGGUGUAGCAGUGAAAUGCGUAGAUAUCAGGAGGAAUACCGAUGGCGAAGGCAGGUCUCUGGGCUGACACUGACGCUCAUGCACGAAAGCGUGGGGAGCAAACAGG
rnacentral:rRNA from 1 species